AAAUUCCGCAAAGGUCCAAAUUCUAGGGCCCAGACAGAAGAGAAGAGUCACAUCAUCUAGAUGAUGAAUGAAAAGAUAUGUCAUUAUUCUCCUUUGGGCAGUGCUUCUGCAGAAAAGUUGCACCUUCUAGGUGUUGGACUCAGCAAUAUAUCACAAUGUCUGCGGUAUUUUGGAAGGAGAGGAGAGUCACCAUUACUUAGUCUAUCUUCAAUUUACAGACCUUGGCUUUUCUACCCCAAUUCAAGAAGUCACUUCUUCAGUCAACCAAACCAAUUACAAAAUUGUGUUCCAAUGUCACAUGUUCAAAAAUAAACAGUUCCUGAAAAGAUGUAAGCUUUAAA
rnacentral:sRNA from 1 species